rnacentral:rRNA from 1 species
UGGGGAAUAUUGGACAAUGGGGAAACCCGUAGCAUCCAGCAAUGCCGCGUGAGUGAUGAAGGCCUUAGGGUUGUAAAGCUCUUUUACCCGGGAUGAUAAUGACAGUACCGGGAGAAUAAGCCCCGGCUAACUCCGUGCCAGCAGCCGCGGUAAUACGGAGGGGCGUAGCGUUGUUCGGAAUUACUGGGCGUAAAGCGCACGUAGGCGGCUUUGUAAGUUAGAGGUGAAAGCCCGGGGCUCAACUCCGGAAUUGCCUUUAAGACUGCAUCGCUAGAAUUGUGGAGAGGUGAGUGGAAUUCCGAGUGUAGAGGUGAAAUUCGUAGAUAUUCGGAAGAACACCAGUGGCGAAGGCGACUCACUGGACACAUAUUGACGCUGAGGUGCGAAAGCGUGGGGAGCAAAACA